CUACGGGGCGCUCCAGUGGGGAAUAUUGCACAAUGGGCGCAAGCCUGAUGCAGCCAUGCCGCGUGUAUGAAGAAGGCCUUCGGGUUGUAAAGUACUUUCAGCGGGGAGGAAGGGAGUAAAGUUAAUACCUUUGCUCAUUGACGUUACCCGCAGAAGAAGCACCGGCUAACUCCGUGCCAGCAGCCGCGGUAAUACGGAGGGUGCAAGCGUUAAUCGGAAUUACUGGGCGUAAAGCGCACGCAGGCGGUUUGUUAAGUCAGAUGUGAAAUCCCCGGGCUCAACCUGGGAACUGCAUCUGAUACUGGCAAGCUUGAGUCUCGUAGAGGGGGGUAGAAUUCCAGGUGUAGCGGUGAAAUGCGUAGAGAUCUGGAGGAAUACCGGUGGCGAAGGCGGCCCCCUGGACGAAGACUGACGCUCAGGUGCGAAAGCGUUGGGAGCAAACAGGAUUAGAUACCCGCGUAGUC
rnacentral:rRNA from 1 species